UACAGAGGUCUCAAGCGUUGUUCGGAUUCACUGGGCGUAAAGGGUGCGUAGGCGGGUCUUUAAGUCAGGGGUGAAAUCCUGGAGCUCAACUCCAGAACUGCCUUUGAUACUGAGGAUCUUGAGUUCGGGAGAGGUGAGUGGAACUGCGAGUGUAGAGGUGAAAUUCGUAGAUAUUCGCAAGAACACCAGUGGCGAAGGCGGCUCACUGGCCCGAUACUGACGCUGAGGUGCGAAAGCGUGGGGAGCAAACAGG
rnacentral:rRNA from 1 species